rnacentral:rRNA from 1 species
UACGGAGGGUGCAAGCGUUAAUCGGAAUUACUGGGCGUAAAGCGCGCGUAGGCGGCUCGGUCAGUCGGGUGUGAAAUCCCUGGGCUCAACCUGGGAACUGCAUUCGAUACUGCCGAGCUGGAGUGUGGGAGAGGGUAGUGGAAUUCCCGGUGUAGCGGUGAAAUGCGUAGAUAUCGGGAGGAACAUCAGUGGCGAAGGCGACUGCCUGGCCCAACACUGACGCUGAGGUGCGAAAGCGUGGGUAGCAAACAGG